AACCUGGGAACUGCAUUCGAAACUGGCAGGCUAGAGUCUUGUAGAGGGGGGUAGAAUUCCAGGUGUAGCGGUGAAAUGCGUAGAGAUCUGGAGGAAUACCGGUGGCGAAGGCGGCCCCCUGGACAAAGACUGACGCUCAGGUGCGAAAGCGUGGGGAGCAAACAGGAUUAGAUACCCUGGUAGUCCACGCCGUAAACGAUGUCGAUUUGGAGGUUGUGCCCUUGAGGCGUGGCUUCCGGAGCUAACGCGUUAAAUCGACCGCCUGGGGAGUACGGCCGCAAGGUUAAAACUCAAAUGAAUUGACGGGGGCCCGCACAAGCGGUGGAGCAUGUGGUUUAAUUCGAUGCAACGCGAAGAACCUUACCUGGUCUUGACAUCCACAGAACUUUCCAGAGAUGGAUUGGUGCCUUCGGGAACUGUGAGACAGGUGCUGCAUGGCUGUCGUCAGCUCGUGUUGUGAAAUGUUGGGUUAAGUCCCGCAACGAGCGCAACCCUUAUCCUUUGUUGCCAGCGGUUAGGCCGGGAACUCAAAGGAGACUGCCAGUGAUAAACUGGAGGAAGGUGGGGAUGACGUCAAGUCAUCAUGGCCCUUACGACCAGGGCUACACACGUGCUACAAUGGCAUAUACAAAGAGAAGCGACCUCGCGAGAGCAAGCGGACCUCAUAAAGUAUGUCGUAGUCCGGAUUGGAGUCUGCAACUCGACUCCAUGAAGUCGGAAUCGCUAGUAAUCGUAGAUCAGAAUGCUACGGUGAAUACGUUCCCGGGCCUUGUACACACCGCCCGUCACACCAUGGGAGUGGGUUGCAAAAGAAGUAGGUAGCUUAACCUUCGGGAGGGCGCUUACCACUUUGUGAUUCAUGACUGGGGUGAAGUCGUAACAAGGUAACCGUAGGGGAACCUGCGGUUGGAUCACCUCCUUACCUUAAAGAA
rnacentral:rRNA from 1 species